AUAAAUCUUAAAACUUAAUUUUUUCUAUCACUUUAAAGAAUAUAUAACAAGUUAUAGUAUCAUUCUUAUACAUUAACUUCUACUGGAACUGCUACUGAAAUGUACACAUAAGUGCUCCUGCUUAUUUCCCCUGCUGUGACUUCUAUCCCCCAGAAACCCCCUUCUCAUGUACUGGCACCUGGAUCACUAGAAUUUCCCCCCCCGCCCCACCCAAAAAACAGCCCAAAGCUUGCAUUGUCAAUGAGGUAAUUCCCAAAGUUGCUAGAUCAGGCUUCCUCACUG
rnacentral:lncRNA from 1 species